AUUGCAAGCCCCCACCUAUGUUGGUUAAUUCUGCUUCACAUGGAAGAGACAGCCAUUGGGCCAGCCCUGAACAAAGAUCCCUGUCACCAAGAUCCACUGCUCCUGCUGUGGUCAGGCAAAGAGAAGGUUAUGUCUCCUGAGUUCUAGUUCUCCGUCCUGAAGUCCAUGUAAUGUGAGUUACAAGCCGUCUGCAGAGUUACCCAAGCUCCAUGAAACAAUCAUAAAGGAACAAAAGGACAAAGUAAUUGGGGGAAUAUAACAACAAUGAACACAGUUCCUUCCUGAAGAGACCACAGCAUGGUGCUGAAGAGCGUGAUCUCAGGAAUACAGAACUGGAUUUAAAUCCCUGCCUCAGAUGACUUUGUGAACCACGUAUCCUCUAUGGAAAUCAGUUUCUUCAUCAUUGAAAUGGAGAUAACUGGUAUUAUCCGCAGUGAUUUGCUUGCCUUUCUUACACUGUCUUGAUAUCUGCAUCUUUGAGAAUCCAAACUGACACAGUUGUCACCAGAACUGGACCAAGAAGGCAAGUGGCAAGAUGGGGUUUGGAAAUUGAAUCUCUGACCACCAUCUGGCUAUGUUUUACCUCAGUGCUAUGUUAACUCUGCCAUGCUUGUUGAUAAUAAAAUUCAAAGAGAUAUGGACCAUCUGGACAUACCGCAGGAUAUCAUAUUGAUCCAGUACAUCUGUGAUAUCAUGCUAAUUGGACAAGAAUCAGAAAAAACAAUUCAAAAUUUGUAUGAAACAAGAGAAGAACCUGAACAUCCAAAGCAAUCCUAAGCAAAAAGAAUAAAGAUGGAGGCACCACAUUACCCAACUUCAAACUAUACUAUAAGGCCACAGUAAACAAAGCAGCAUGGUAUUUGUUAAAAAAAAAAAUAGACACAUAGACCAAUGGAACAAAUUAGAGAACCCAGAAACAAAGCUGUAUAUAUCUACAACCAACUAGUCUUUGACAAAGUCAACAAAAAUAAACUAUGGGGAAAGGACAACCUAUUUAAUAAAUGAUGCUGGAAAAACUAGCUAGCUAUAUGCAGAAGAAUGAAACUGGACUUCUACCUCUCACCAUAUAAAAAAUUAGCUCAAUAUUACAUUUGUAAUGUAAUCUUUAAAUGUAAGUUUUACAUUUAAAGAUGUAAAUGUAAGACUUCAAUCUGUAAAAAAUAUUAGAACAAAACCUAGGAAAUACUCUUCUGGCCUAGGCAAAAAUUUAUAACUAAGACCUCAAAAGCAAAUGCAACAAAAACAAAAAUGUACAACUGGGACCUAAUUAAAGUAAAGGACUUCUGCAGGGCAAAAUAAAUUAUCAAUAGAGUAAAUGGACAACCUACAGAAUGGAAGACAAUAUUUGCAAACUAUGCAUUCCACAAAGGAAUAAUAUUCAGAAUCUAUAAGGAACUUAAAUCAACAAGAAAAAAAAUCAAAUAACUCCAUUAAAAAGUGGGCAAAGGACACUAACAGACAAUUCUCAAAAGAAGACAUACAAAUGGCCAAGAAGCAUAUGAAAAAAUGCUCAACAUCACUAAUCAUCAGAGAAAUGUAAAUUAAAACCACAAUAAGUUAGCAUCUCACACCAGUCAAAAUGGCUCUUAUUAAAAAGUAAAAAAUAACAGAUGUUGUCAAGAAUGGGGAGAAAGGGAAUGCUUAUACACUGUUGGUGGGAAUGUAAUAUAGUUCAGCCCCCAUGAAAAGCAGUUUAGAAAUUCCUCAAAGAACUAAACAAAAAACUACCAUUCCACCCAGCAAUCCUAUUAUUGGGUAUCUACCCAAAGGAAAAGAAAUCAUUUGUACCAAAAAGGCACCUGCACUCACAUGUUUAUCACAGCACGAUUCGCAAAGGCAAGGACAUGGAAUCAACCUAGGUGCCCAUCAAUGGUGGAUUGGAUAAAGCAAAUAUGGUACAUAUACAGCAUGGAAUACUAUGCAACCAUAAAAAAACAGUGAAAUCACGUCCUUUGCAGCAACACGGAUGGAGCUGGGGGCCAUUAUCCUAAGUGAAUUAAUGCAGAAACAAAAAAUCAAAUACCACAUAUUCUCACUUGUAAGUAGGAGCUAAACGAUGGGUACAUACAGACAUAAAGAUGUAAACAAUAGAUUCUGGGGACUCCAAAAGGGAGGAGGAUGACAGGAGGGAAAAACAAUUGAAACGUAACUUAUUUGGUAUUAUGGUCACUCUUUGGGUGAUGGGAUCAAUAGAAGACCAAAUCCCAGCAUUAUAUACUAUAUCCGUUUAACAAUACUGCACAUGUAGUUUCUGAAUCUAAAAUAAAAAGCAU
rnacentral:lncRNA from 10 species